rnacentral:rRNA from 1 species
CCUACGGGGGACAGCAGUGGGGGAUAUUGCACAAUGGGGGGAACCCUGAUGCAGCGACGCCGCGUGGGUGAAGGAGCGUUUCGGCGCGUAAAGCCCUAUCGGCAGGGAAGAAGAUGACGGUACCUGGCCAAGAAGCCCCGGCUAACUACGUGCCAGCAGCCGGGGUAAUACGUAGGGGGCAAGCGUUAUCCGGAUUUACUGGGUGUAAAGGGGGCGCAGACGGCAAUGCAAGACAGGAGUGAAAGCCCGGGGCCCAACCCCGGGACUGCUCUUGGAACUGCAUGGCUGGAGUACAGGAGGGGCAGGCGGAAUUCCUAGUGUAGCGGUGAAAUGCGUAGAUAUUAGGAGGAACACCGGUGGCGAAGGCAGCCUGCUGGACUGCGACUGACGUUGAGGCCCGAAGGCGUGGGGAGCAAACAGGAUUAGAUACCCCUGUAGUC